ACCUUUGUCUUGGUCUUUGUGGUUCCAUCCAUUUUGUUCCAAUCCCGCAUACCCUGAUUAACAAAGAAAUCGGAGCUAGACGCAGACUGUUAACGUUGUUGGGCCGUGAAGACUGUGAUUCUUUUGGUAGUUUAAGUGUACUACUGAUCAGGCAGCCAGACUAGGUGAAACACUGAAAAUCCAGAGGUACAGUUGUAUGAAGCAGCUGAAGUUGGAGAUAUUGAUGCCAUGAAGUCUGUCUUCUCUAAUGGGGCAGGUAUUAACUGGGAGCAUCCAGGUUUGAAUAAUGAGACUCCUUUACAUGCAGCAGUUUACAAAAGCAGGAUUGAUGCUGUCCUGUGGUUACUGAAUGAAGGUGCUUAUACUGAGUCCUGGGAUACAGAGGUACAGUUGUAUGAGGCAGCUGAAGUUGGAGAUAUUGAUGCCAUGAAGUCUGUCUUCUCUAAUGGGGGAAACAUAAACUGGGAGCAUCUACAGUAGGUUUGGAUUUAAAUAUGGUGUGAAUACUGCAUAGCUAAAAACCUCAAAUGAGAGAAAAGACAGAGUUCCAUGAAUAAAAGCCUUUUGAUGGAUGGACUCCUCUCAUAUUCUCAGCUUAUUUAGGAAUUACACAAUCAGUUUAAUUGCUCCUUGAAAAAGGAGCUGAUGUCUCUGCCUCUGAUAAUUAUGGUAAGACGUACUGCUCUUGUUUAUGCUGAAGAAAACGGUCAUUAUGAAGUGGCUACUACACUAAGAGUACACUCAGGUAAUGUAUUAUUGUUUAUGCUGAAGAAAACGGUCAUUAUGAAGUGACUACUAUGCUAAGAGUACACUCAGUACUGUAUUGUUUGUAAAUUUUAUGAAAAACACUUGAGUCAUCAGCUACUGCUUUCUUCCUUACCAUAUGUGAGGUACAGUUGUAUGAAGCAGCUCAAGUUGGAGAUAUUGACGCCAUGAAGUCUGUCUUCUCUAAUGGGGCAGGUAUUAACUGGGAGAAUCCUGAUAGGAUUAACAUGACUCAAUUACAUGAAGCAGCUACUAAGAAUAAGAUUGAUGCUGUCAAACUAUUGCUGGGUUAAGGGGCUCAUAUUGAGCCAAGAGAUGAUGUGACCGAGUUGCAUAUUGAACGAGACACUGGCCUCAUCAAAACAAAGAAAAACAAUAAUUAUUAUUUUACAUGUAUGAUUUCAAAACUAAUUUUUCCUGCAUAUUACCACUGUAGGUAUUUAAAUUAAAUGGCAAGGCCAAUGAUACACACAUUAUUACAACAUGUAAUGUAGUAUAUACAUGCUAGUUGAUAAUAAACCAGUUCCAAUGCAUGUUUUUCUUUGCAUUAAAUUGUAUAUGUGGUAUUCCAAUUAUGUAAGGAUUAAUAGCC